rnacentral:rRNA from 1 species
GACAGAGGAUGCAAGCGUUAUCCGGAAUGAUUGGGCGUAAAGCGUGCGCAGGCGGUUCGUUGUGUCGGCGGUGAAAGCCCCGGGCUUAACCUGGGAAUGGCCGUCGAAACUGGCGAACUGGAGUGUGGCAGAGGGGGGUGGAAUUCCGCGUGUAGCAGUGAAAUGCGUAGAUAUCGGGAGGAACACCUGUGGCGAAAGCGGCUCACUGGACCAUAACUGACGCUGAUGCACGAAAGCUGGGGGAGCAAACAGG